rnacentral:tRNA from 1 species
GGAGGAUUCGCCUAGUGGCCUAUGGCGCGCGCUUGGAAAGCGCGUUUACCGAAAGGUAUCGAGGGUUCGAAUCCCUCAUCCUCCG